GAUGAACGCUGGCGGCGUGCCUAAUACAUGCAAGUCGAGCGAACAGACGAGGCGCUUGCUCCUUUGACGUUAGCGGCGGACGGGUGAGUAACACGUGGAUAACCUACCUAUAAGACUGGGAUAACUUCGGGAAACCGGAGCUAAUACCGGAUAAUAUAUUGAACCGCAUGGUUCAAUAGUGAAAGACGGCUUUGCUGUCACUUAUAGAUGGAUCCGCGCCGCAUUAGCUAGUUGGUAGGGUAACGGCUUACCAAGGCGACGAUGCGUAGCCGAACUGAGAGGGUGAUCGGCCGCACUGGAACUGAGACACGGUCCAGACUCCUACGGGAGGCAGCAGUAGGGAAUCUUCCGCAAUGGGCGAAAGCCUGACGGAGCAACGCCGCGUGAGUGAUGAAGGUCUUCGGAUCGUAAAACUCUGUUAUUAGGGAAGAACAAAUGUGUAAGUAACUAUGCACGUCUUGACGGUACCUGAUCAGAAAGCCACGGCUAACUACGUG
rnacentral:rRNA from 1 species